GGGGAUAUGGUCUAGCGGUAUGACAUCUUCUUAGCAUGGAGAAGGUUCCCGGUUCGACUCCGGGUUUCUCCA
rnacentral:tRNA from 1 species